CAGCAGCCGCGGGAAUACGGAGGGCGCGAGCGUUACCCGGAUUUACUGGGCGUAAAGGGCGUGUAGGCGGCCUGGGGCGUCCCAUGUGAAAGGCCACGGCUCAACCGUGGAGGAGCGUGGGAUACGCUCAGGCUAGAGGGUGGGAGAGGGUGGUGGAAUUCCCGGAGUAGCGGUGAAAUGCGCAGAUACCGGGAGGAACGCCGAUGGCGAAGGCAGCCACCUGGUCCACUUCUGACGCUGAGGCGCGAAAGCGUGGGGAGCGAACAGGAUUAGAUACCCCCGUAGUCCCUGUCUCUUAUAC
rnacentral:rRNA from 1 species